rnacentral:rRNA from 1 species
GAACCCGGAAGUUAAGCCUUUCAGCGCCGAUGGUACUGCAACCGAGAGGUUGUGGGAGAGUAGGACGCCGCCGGAC